GAUGAACGCUGGCGGCGUGCCUAAUACAUGCAAGUCGAGCGAACAGACGAGGAGCUUGCUCCUCUGACGUUAGCGGCGGACGGGUGAGUAACACGUGGAUAACCUACCUAUAAGACUGGGAUAACUUCGGGAAACCGGAGCUAAUACCGGAUAAUAUAUUGAACCGCAUGGUUCAAUAGUGAAAGACGGUUUUGCUGUCACUUAUAGAUGGAUCCGCGCCGCAUUAGCUAGUUGGUAAGGUAACGGCUUACCAAGGCAACGAUGCGUAGCCGACCUGGGAGGGUGAUCGGCCACACUGGAACUGAGACACGGUCCAGACUCCUACGGGAGGCAGCAGUAGGGAAUCUUCCGCAAUGGGCGAAAGCUUGACGGAGCAACGCCGCGUGAGUGAUGAAGGUCUUCGGAUCGUAAAACUCUGUUAUUAGGGAAGAACAAAUGUGUAAGUAACUACGCACGUCUUGACGGUACCUAAUCAGAAAGCCACGGCUAACUACGUG
rnacentral:rRNA from 1 species